UUUGCUUCUACAACAUUUUGUCUACAACAAAAACUUAAAACAAAACAAAAAUAUGUAGCCUAGCAAAGCAAAAAGCGGGAAAAUGGAUAUAACAAAUCCUGAAGCAUUUAAUUUCUUAUACAUUUCACCUGAAAAUAAAGACGACAUUCAAGAAUUCAUAAAGAUUGCGACAACCUUGAUAAAGCAAAAUAAAAUUGUUUUGCUAUUCACUCGGCAACAUGUUGAUUUCAUGUCUUCAUUGGUUGGAUUAAAUAAGGAACAGAUGAAACAUUUCAUCAUUUCGUUUAUUUCAUUUACACAAGUUACCAUUCCGACAUAAAAACCAUCAUUGGAAAACUCUUAGAACUUCACGAAUGGACUUUUGUGCCUGAUUUGGUUUUAUUGAAUUUGAAUUCGUUUUAUGAUUUUCCAAACGGUGACCGCACAGAAGCAGAACCGCAACCCCAAGUUCAAACCGUCACCAAGCCCAGAUUUGAUGAAGUAUGUUUUUGUAUCUCGACCUUGCUUAAUUAUAUGCUGUUUUUGAGAGAAAAAAAAUGUUCGAAAAGUGUUGUAAUGUUAAAUUCUCACAGCGAUGUGAAUAUUCAAAUUUUAGUCGAUUUUUAUUUUUAUAAAAUGGCAGCGUUCGAUGUGAUCGCCGAAGUACAGAAUAAAAUUUUGAACAUUUAAGAACAAA